rnacentral:rRNA from 1 species
GCUAAUCCUAGCCCAACUCUCCAUUAAAUAUAUUAUUCAUUUAUAUUAAUUAAAUCAUUUACCUAUAGUAAGAGUAUAGGCGAUAGAAAUUACAUACUAGGCGCAAUAGAUAUAGUACCGUAAGGGAAAGACAUUACCUAAUAAGCAUAUAAAAGCAAAGACGAGUCCUUAUACCUUCUGCAUAAUGAAUUAACUAGAAGUAGUUUUAUAAAGAGAACUUCAACAAAGUACCCCGAAACCAAACGAGCUACCCAAGGACAGCUAUAAGAGCACACCCGUCUAUGUGGCAAAAUAGUGGGAAGAUCUAUGGGUAGUGGCGACAAACCUAACGAGCUUGGUGAUAGCUGGUUAUCCAAGACAGAAUCUUAGUUCGACUUUAAAUUUAUCCCCAGAAUUAUUAAAUCCUCAUGUAAAUUUAACUGUUAGUCUAAAGAGGGACAGCUCUUUAGACCCUAGGAAAAAACCUUUAAUAGAGAGUAAGUAGUAUAAAUCCCAUAGUUGGCCUAAAAGCAGCCAUCAAUUAAGAAAGCGUUCAAGCUCAAUAUUCUCAUAUAUUUAAUUCUACUAAUUUUAUCGAACUCCUGAAACAAAUUGGAUUAAUCUAUUAUCUAAUAGAAGCAAUAAUGUUAGUAUAAGUAACAUGAAUCUAUUCUCCCCGCAUAAGCUUAUUUCAGACCGAAACAACUACUGUUAGUUAACAGCCUAAUAAUCAUAAACUACAAAUUAAAAUAUCAAUUAACUAAACUGUUAACCCAACACAGGCAUGCACUAAGGAAAGAUUAAAAAAAGUAAAAGGAACUCGGCAAGCUCUAACCCCGCCUGUUUACCAAAAACAUCACCUCUAGCAUUUCUAGUAUUAGAGGCACUGCCUGCCCAGUGACAUAUGUUCAACGGCCGCGGUACCCUGACCGUGCAAAGGUAGCAUAAUCACUUGUUCUCUAAAUAGGGACUUGUAUGAAUGGCCACACGAGGGUUUAACUGUCUCUUACUUUUAAUCAGUGAAAUUGACCUAUCCGUGAAGAGGCGGAUAUACAUAAAUAAGACGAGAAGACCCUGUGGAGCUUUAAUUUAAUGAUACAAACUAGAUUUGUAAAAACCAACAGGCAUUAAUUUACCGUCAAUGUAUUAUAAAUUUCGGUUGGGGCGACCUCGGAGUAAAAUAGAACCUCCGAAAAACAUAUACCAAGACCUUACCAGUCUAAGUAAGCAAGCACCUAUUGACCCAAUAAUAAUUUGAUCAACGGACCAAGUUACCCUAGGGAUAACAGCGCAAUCCUAUUUUAGAGUCCAUAUCGAUAAUAGGGUUUACGACCUCGAUGUUGGAUCAAGACAUCCUAAUGGUGCAGAAGCUAUUAAGGGUUCGUUUGUUCAACGAUUAAAGUCUUACGUGAUCUGAGUUCAGACCGGAGCAAUCCAGGUCGGUUUCUAUCUAUUUAAAUAUUUCUCCCAGUACGAAAGGACAAGAGAAAUGGGGCCCACUUCAUAAAGCGCCCUCAACAAUCAGAUGACCUCCAUCUCAACCUCACAUAUUAUAAUCUUGCCCAAGAACAGGGCUC